rnacentral:rRNA from 1 species
AUAAGCGGAGGAAAAAGAAACCAACCCGGGAUUGCCUCAGUAACGGCGAGUGAAGCGGCAAAAGCUCAAAUUUGAAAUCUGGCACUUUCAGUGUCCGAGUUGUAAUUUGUAGAAGUAGUUUUGGGACUGGUCCUUAUCUAUGUUUCUUGGAACAGGACGUCAUAGAGGGUGAGAACCCCGUAUGAUGAGGCCCCCAGUCCUUUGUAAAACGCUUUCGAAGAGUCGAGUUGUUUGGGAAUGCAGCUCUAAGUGGGUGGUAAAUUCCAUCUAAAGCUAAAUAUUGGCGAGAGACCGAUAGCGAACAAGUACAGUGAUGGAAAGAUGAAAAGAACUUUGAAAAGAGAGUGAAAAAGUACGUGAAAUUGUUGAAAGGGAAGGGCAUUUGAUCAGACAUGGUGUUUUGCGCCCUUUGCUCCUUGUGGGCGGAGGAUACGCAGCUCACUGGGCCAACAUCAGUUUUGGGAGCAGGAUAAAUCUGUAGGAACGUAGCUUUCUUCGGGAAGUGUUAUAGCCUAUGGGAAUACUGCUACCUGGGACUGAGGACUGCGUCUUUUGACAAGGAUGUUGGCAUAAUGGUAGA